GCAGCAGCCGCGGGAAUACGUAGGUGGCAAGCGUUAUCCGGAAUUAUUUGGCGUAAAGCGCGCGUAGGCGGUUUUUUAAGUCUGAUGUGAGAGCCCACGGCUCAACCGUGGAGGGUCAUUGGAAACUGGAAAACUUGAGUGCAGAAGAGGAAAGUGGAAUUCCAUGUGUAGCGGUGAAAUGCGCAGAGAUAUGGAGGAACACCAGUGGCGAAGGCGACUUUCUGGUCUGUAACUGACGCUGAUGUGCGAAAGCGUGGGGAUCAAACAGGAUUAGAUAUCCGCGUAGUCCCUGUCUCUUAUAA
rnacentral:rRNA from 1 species